rfam:Glycine max cultivar Williams 82 chromosome 15, whole genome shotgun sequence.
GGAGAGAUGGUUGAGUGGUUGACAACCUCAGUCUUGAAAAUCAAUAUAGUUCGAAAAAAAGAACUAUUGAGGGUUCAAAUCCCUCUCUCCUCU